AUGGGAGAGAGAGAGAGAGAGAGAGAGAAAAAAGAAAACCUAGAAAAGACACUUCCUACUUAGUAGGGGGAGAUGCCAACAUUAGCGGAAGCGAAAAACCCAUCUUUCAUGAGAACGUCCUCUCCUUCCUUCACAUAACAAAACACAGA